GGAUGCCAGGCCAAGGUGGAGCAAGCGGUGGAGACAGAGCCGGAGCCCGAGCUGCGCCAGCAGACCGAGUGGCAGAGCGGCCAGCGCUGGGAACUGGCACUGGGUCGCUUUUGGGAUUACCUGCGCUGGGUGCAGACACUGUCUGAGCAGGUGCAGGAGGAGCUGCUCAGCUCCCAGGUCACCCAGGAACUGAGGGCGCUGAUGGACGAGACCAUGAAGGAGUUGAAGGCCUACAAAUCGGAACUGGAGGAACAACUGACCCCGGUGGCGGAGGAGACGCGGGCACGGCUGUCCAAGGAGCUGCAGGCGGCGCAGGCCCGGCUGGGCGCGGACAUGGAGGACGUGUGCGGCCGCCUGGUGCAGUACCGCGGCGAGGUGCAGGCCAUGCUCGGCCAGAGCACCGAGGAGCUGCGGGUGCGCCUCGCCUCCCACCUGCGCAAGCUGCGUAAGCGGCUCCUCCGCGAUGCCGAUGACCUGCAGAAGCGCCUGGCAGUGUACCAGGCCGGGGCCCGCGAGGGCGCCGAGCGCGGCCUCAGCGCCAUCCGCGAGCGCCUGGGGCCCCUGGUGGAACAGGGCCGCGUGCGGGCCGCCACUGUGGGCUCCCUGGCCGGCCAGCCGCUACAGGAGCGGGCCCAGGCCUGGGGCGAGCGGCUGCGCGCGCGGAUGGAGGAGAUGGGCAGCCGGACCCGCGACCGCCUGGACGAGGUGAAGGAGCAGGUGGCGGAGGUGCGCGCCAAGCUGGAGGAGCAGGCCCAGCAGAUACGCCUGCAGGCCGAGGCCUUCCAGGCCCGCCUCAAGAGCUGGUUCGAGCCCCUGGUGGAAGACAUGCAGCGCCAGUGGGCCGGGCUGGUGGAGAAGGUGCAGGCUGCCGUGGGCACCAGCGCCGCCCCUGUGCCCAGCGACAAUCACUGAACGCCGAAGCCUGCAGCCAUGCGACCCCACGCCACCCCGUGCCUCCUGCCUCCGCGCAGCCUGCAGCGGGAGACCCUGUCCCCGCCCCAGCCGUCCUCCUGGGGUGGACCCUAGUUUAAUAAAGAUUCACCAAGUUUCA
rnacentral:lncRNA from 1 species